ACGGGAGGCAGCAGUGGGGGAUAUUGCACAAUGGGGGAGACCCUGAUGCAGCAACGCCGCGUGAGGGAAGAAGGUCUUCGGAUUGUAAACUUCUUUUAUGAGGGACGAAGGACGUGACGGUACCUCAUGAAUAAGCCACGGCCAACUACGUGCCAGCAGCCGCGGUAAUACGUAGGUGGCAAGCGUUAUCCGGAUUUACUGGGUGUAAAGGGCGCGUAGGCGGGGAUGCAAGUCAGAUGUGAAAUCUAUGGGCUUAACUCAUAAACUGCAUUUGAAACUGUAUCUCUUGAGUGCUGGAGAGGUAGACGGAAUUCCUUGUGUAGCGGUGAAAUGCGUAGAUAUAAGGAAGAACACCAGUGGCGAAGGCGGUCUACUGGGCAGUAACUGACGCUGAGGCGCGAAAGCGUGGGGAGCAAACAGGAUUAGAUACCCUGGUA
rnacentral:rRNA from 1 species